rnacentral:rRNA from 1 species
UACGUAGGGGGCUAGCGUUGUCCGGAAUCAUUGGGCGUAAAGCGCGCGUAGGCGGCCUCGCAAGUCCGCUGUAAAAGUCAAAGGCUCAACCUUUGAAUGCCAGUGGAAACUGCGAGGCUAGAGUCCGGAAGAGGCGAGUGGAAUUCCUGGUGUAGCGGUGGAAUGCGCAGAUAUCAGGAGGAACACCAACGGCGAAGGCAGCUCGCUGGGACGGUACUGACGCUGAGGCGCGAAAGCGUGGGGAGCAAACAGGAUUAGAAACCCCCGUAGUCC